UGGGGAAUAUUGGACAAUGGGGGGAACCCUGAUCCAGCCAUGCCGCGUGUGUGAAGAAGGCCUUUUGGUUGUAAAGCACUUUAAGCGAGGAGGAGGCUACUAGUACUAAUACUACUGGAUAGUGGACGUUACUCGCAGAAUAAGCACCGGCUAACUCUGUGCCAGCAGCCGCGGUAAUACAGAGGGUGCGAGCGUUAAUCGGAUUUACUGGGCGUAAAGCGUGCGUAGGCGGCUGAUUAAGUCGGAUGUGAAAUCCCUGAGCUUAACUUAGGAAUUGCAUUCGAUACUGGUCAGCUAGAGUAUGGGAGAGGAUGGUAGAAUUCCAGGUGUAGCGGUGAAAUGCGUAGAGAUCUGGAGGAAUACCGAUGGCGAAGGCAGCCAUCUGGCCUAAUACUGACGCUGAGGUACGAAAGCAUGGGGAGCAAACAGG
rnacentral:rRNA from 2 species